GAUGAACGCUGGCGGCGUGCCUAAUACAUGCAAGUCGUGCGGAAAGGCCACUUCGGUGGUACUCGAGCGGCGGACGGCAGAGUAACGCGUAGGAACAUACCCCCAAACUGAGGGAUAACUGCUCGAAAGAGUAGCUAAUACCGCAUGUGAUCUUCGGAUUAAAGCUUCGGCGGUUUGGGAAUGGCCUGCGUCCGAUUAGCUUGUUGGUGAGGUAAUAGGCUCACCAAGGCGACGAUCGGUAGCUGGUCUGAGAGGAUGAUCAGCCUGACUGGAACUGAGAACGGUCCAGACUCCUACGGAGGCAGCAGUAGGGAAUUUUCCGACAAUGGGCGAAGCCUGAUGGAGCAACGACCGCGUGCAGGAUGAAUG
rnacentral:rRNA from 1 species